rnacentral:rRNA from 1 species
GAUGCUGCUGGCGUUAUGCCACCUGGUGGAUGGCUCGGCUCAGGGCGCCGAAGAAGGGCGUGCCAAGCUGCGAAAAGCCUCGGGUAGGCGCAGGGAGCCGUAGAACCGAGGAUGCCCGAAUGGGAAUUCCUGCCAUCAGGCGCUCCCGUAAGCUUCGGCUGAGGGAGCGGGAACGCCCCGAAUUGAAACAUCUUAGUAGGGGCAGGAAAAGAAAUCAAACGAGAUGCCGUGAGUAACGGCGAGUGAAAACGGCAGAGCUCAAACCGAACCCCUCUCUGAAAGGGGAGGGGGAUGUGGAGUUGGAAGUGGGCGCCAAUAUGCAUCCCGACACGCCGAAGCCGAAGUUCCCUGGAAUGGGACGCCAUAGAGGGUGAGAGCCCCGUAGGCGUAAGGCGUAGGGAUGCGGCGCCCACUUGAGUACCGUGGGUUGGAUUUCCCGCGGGAAUCUGGGGGCUACCAACCUCCAAAGCUAAAUACGUCCUGAGACCGAUAGCGCACUAGUACCGUGAGGGAAAGCUGAAAAGCACCCCGUGAGGGAGGUGAAAAGAGCCUGAAACCAGGUGGCGAUAGUGUGAUGCGGCACGAAAGCGAUGAAGGCGCCGAAGCCUCUUCUGGCGAGGCGUUCUGAGCGGUGUCGCAUCGUCCGUUUUGAAAAACGGGCCAGGGAGUGUGUCCCGAUGGCGAGGCUAACCCGAAAGGGGGAGCCGUAGGGAAACCGACAUGCCCGCACCCGAAAGGGGAGGGGCGGCGUAUGAACUGCGUGGAGUCAUCGGGGCACGACCCGAAGCCGGGUGAUUUAGGCGCGGGCAGGGUGAAGCCUCCCGAAAGGGGGGUGGAGGCCCGAACCGGUGCUGACUUGCAAAUCGCUCGGAUGACCCGCGUCUAGGGGUGAAAGGCCAAUCAAACCCGGCGAUAGCUGGUUCCCCCCGAAACAUGCCACAGCAUGACCCGGUCGGAGGCGGACGGCGCUGUAGAGUCACUGAUUGGAGGUCACGGGGGCGAAAGCCCUCGCCCUCCUGUCAAACUCCGAAGGUGCCGUCGCCGUAGAGGACCGGAAGUCGGGGCAUCGGGGUAAGCUCGAUGUCCGAAAGGGGAACAACCCAGACCGGGGUUAAGGCCCCUAAGUGUCGGCUAAGUGUCGAAAUCCAAAGGGCGUCCCGAGCCUGAGACAGCUGGGAGGUUAGCUUAGAAGCAGCUACCCUCUAAGGAGUGCGUAACAGCUCACCAGCCGAGGCUCGGGGCACCGAAAAUGGACGGGGCUAAAGCCGACCGCCGAUACCCCGGGACACCGAAAGGUGAUUCCGUAGGGGGGCGCUCUGCGAGGGUGGAAGCAUCUCCGUGAGGAGGUGUGGACCUCGCAGAGACGAGAAUCCUGGCGAUAGUAGCAGCGUAGUCGGGUGAGAAUCCCGAUCGCCGAAGGGGCCAGGUUUCCUCGGCAAUGUUCGUCAGCCGAGGGUUAGCCGGUCCUAAGGGCGUCCUCAACCAGAGACGCCCGAAGGGGAAGCAGGUUAAUAUUCCUGCGCCGUCCAGCCUGAAAGGGCGAAAGCCCGCCCGACGCUUCCGGGUAUGCCGAGCGGCGCCGUCGCGCCGUCCAAGCCCAGAAGCCUCCGGAGAGCCGUAAGGGCGAGAAGGGGGUGAAUGGGUGAUGGCGAAAGUCGGCAGAGCCCGGGAGCCCGUGAAAAGGGUGGCUGGACGACCGUACCGAGAACCGACACAGGUGCCCCUGGGUGAGCAGCCCAAGGCGUGUCGGGGCACUCCGGCUGAGGGAAAUCGGCAAACUCGCCCCGUAACCUCGGGAGAAGGGGUGCCUGCUCUUGCGCAAAGAGCAGGUCGCAGUGACAAGGGGAGGCCGACUGUUUAAUAAAAACAUAGGUGGCUGCAAGCCCGAAAGGGUGAGUACAGCUGCCGACUCCUGCCCAGUGCCGGUCCCUGAAAGCCCCGUUCAAGGGGACGAAGGGCCGGUAAACGGCGGGGGUAACUCUGACCCUCAAGGAGGGGGUCGUUAAAUCCGGCUGUAUGCUGGGAAGUUUGAGCGCCCGGCUCCUGAGUAAGGGAAAAUGCCGGGUGCGAUGAGAACAAUCAGCAGGAAACCGAGGAGGUGCGUGCUGCUUGCUCUAUGAGUUCAGGGAUUUGAUUGACCCGAGAAUGCUUCCAGGGCGGAGGAAGGAACUCAUGUAUUACCUCGUGGGCUUCACCGACGCAGAGGGUUGCUUCAGUGUUUCGCUGAAAAAGCAGGAAGGCACGAGGUUUGGAUGGGUUCUUGACCCGGUGUUCCAUGUGACGCAGCACAAAAGCAAUCGCAUCGUGCUUGAAAUCUUCCGCCGAAUACUCAUGUGCGGCAGAAUCAUUGAGAAGCAUGGACAGUCAGACACGCUGGUUUACAUCGUUGACAACCGCAGACAGCUCGCAGAGAAAGUGAUUCCGUUUUUCCGAAGGCACAGACUUAUCCUGAAGCACAGAGAUUUUGAGCGUUUCGCAGAGAUUGUGGAGGCAUUAGAGGAGAAGAAGCAUGCGACGGCUGAGGGCUUCAGGGAACUUGUGCAGAAAGCGUUUGAGAUGAACUCGGCGGGUAAGCAGCGGAGACACACGCUUGAGGAAAUCCUCAGUGAUAUUGCCUCUGUGGCCUCCUCGGGAUCCUCAGAGGCCAUACGCCGGACGCCCCGAAGAAGGCGUGAGUAACGCCGAGAAGGGGCGAAGAUAUGGUCCACCCGAGAAGGGUGCUUAAGGUAGCGUAAUACCUAGCCGCUUAAUUGGCGGCUUGCACGAAAGGAGGAACGAGCCUCCCGCUGUCCCCAGCCGGAACCCGGCGAAAUCCACAUCCUGGGGAACGGUCCAGGGACCCCCGAGGGGAAGCGAAGACCCCGUGGAGCUUUACUGCAGCCUGCCGCUGGACCAUGGCUUCGGAUGUAGAGCGUAGGUGGGAGGCAGUGAGACGCUCUCGCCAGGGGGCGUGGAGCCGCCAAUGGAACACCACCCUUCCGAGGUUGUGGUCCUUACCCGAAAGGGGACAACGGCAGGUGGGCAGUUUGGGUGGGGCGCCACGCCCUCGAAAAAAUAUCGAGGGCGCCCAAAGGUCGGCUCAGCCGGGUCAGAACUCCGGCGUGGAGUGCAAGGGCAAAAGCCGGCCUGACGUGACCCCGCAUACCAAAGGGUCACGAGCCGAAAGGCGGGCCUAGCGAACCUUUGAGGGUCAUUGGUAGGCCCCAAAGACGUCAGAAAAGCUACCCCGGGGAUAACUGAGUUGUCUCCGGCGAGAGUCCACAUCGACCCGGAGGCUUGCUACUUCGAUGUCGGCUCUUCCCAACCUGGGCGUGCAGCAGCGCCCAAGGGUAAGACUGUUCGUCUGUUAAAGGGGAUCGUGAGCUGGGUUUAGAACGUCGCGAGACAGUUCGGUUGCUAUCUAUCGGGGGUGUCGGAGGUCUGAGGGGAAGCUCCCCCUAGUACGAGAGGAACGGGGGGGCGGCGCCUCUGGUCUACCGGUUGUCCGACAGGGCAACGCCGGGCAGCUACGCGCCAGUGGAUAAGAGCUGAAGGCAUCUAAGCUCGAAGCCACCCCCGAAAAGAGACCUCAUAGGGCACCGCUAGAACAGCGGUUUGAUAGGGCCGGGGUGUAAGUGCCGAGGCGAAAGCCGAGGCAUUCAGCCCGCGGCUACUAACGCCCGUGCCAGCACUUGA